ensembl:snoRNA Gm55974 predicted gene, 26186
GUUGAGAUCUGUCCUGAGGCUUCCUUCUCCUGUAGCUACACAUUGUUGGAAACCCCUCAUAUGGUAAUUGGUUUUACAUUACACACAGGGCUAGUUCCUAGGUCUGUGGGAAAGGACUUCAGGACAGCU